GGUGGAGAGUUCCAAAGGGAUCGCAUUGAUCCAAUGUUCGUCUUGUCUUAUUGGUGAUGUUGGAGUGAUCAAUUCCCAAUCGAUUAUUGGAUCGUGCGAUCCCUUAGGAAUCUUCCAUC
rnacentral:pre_miRNA from 1 species